rnacentral:rRNA from 1 species
CUUUCGGGUUGUAAACUCCUGUCAUUUGGGAACAAGUUGUACGUAUUUACCGUACGUGCAUUGAUAGUACCAGAAGAGGAAGGGACGGCUAACUCUGUGC